rnacentral:rRNA from 1 species
UACGUAGGGGGCAAGCGUUGUCCGGAUUUAUUGGGCGUAAAGAGCGUGUAGGCGGCCAGACAAGUCUGCUGUGAAAACUCGAGGCUCAACCUCGAGCUGUCGGUGGAAACCGUCUGGCUAGAGUCCGGAAGAGGAGAGUGGAAUUCCUGGUGUAGCGGUGAAAUGCGCAGAUAUCAGGAAGAACACCUAUGGCGAAGGCAGCUCUCUGGGACGGUACUGACGCUGAGACGCGAAAGCGUGGGGAGCGAACAGG